GACGAACGCUGGCGGCGUGCCUAAUACAUGCAAGUAGAACGCUGAAGAGAGGAGCUUGCUCUUCUUGGAUGAGUUGCGAACGGGUGAGUAACGUGUAGGUAACCUGCCUUGUAGCGGGGGAUAACUAUUGGAAACGAUAGCUAAUACCGCAUAACAAUGGAUGACACAUGUCAUUUAUUUGAAAGGGGCAAUUGCUCCACUACAAGAUGGACCUGCGUUGUAUUAGCUAGUAGGUGAGGUAACGGCUCACCUAGGCGACGAUACAUAGCCGACCUGAGAGGGUGAUCGGCCACACUGGGACUGAGACACGGCCCAGACUCCUACGGGAGGCAGCAGUAGGGAAUCUUCGGCAAUGGGGGCAACCCUGACCGAGCAACGCCGCGUGAGUGAAGAAGGUUUUCGGAUCGUAAAGCUCUGUUGUAAGUCAAGAACGAGUGUGAGAGUGGAAAGUUCACACUGUGACGGUAGCUUACCAGAAAGGGACGGCUAACUACGUG
rnacentral:rRNA from 1 species